AAGUGUUUCACGAGUUUCAGUUCGGAAAGGAUAAUUCAAUCUUCUGCACUAUCUCAUUCCAGUCAUGAAACUUUGUGAUCAUCAUAAAUGGUAAUUCUCCUUUCUUCCCACCAUCAAUUCGCUUUCUCAACUGGAAUUGUGAUCAUCAUGGGUAAAUAAUGCUUUUCAUUGGAGGUUUCUACCCUUGAUAUUUGUGGGUUUUUCACAAUUUUUGGUUGUCCGUUUUGGAAUCUACCUUCUUGGUAACGUGGCCAUGUGGGUUUCUGAUUCAUUCAGAGAAAUUGGAUCUUUUAUUAUCGCUCUUCUGCUUCUCGGUUAUGUGUAUAUUAAUCGAGGGUUUCAUGAGUUUUAGUUCGGAAACGAGGAUUCAAUCUUCUGCCCUCUUUCGUUCCUGGAUUAUCAUGAAACUAUGUGAUCAUUAUAUGAUUAAUGGUAAUCUGUCUCCUUUUUGCUGCACCGAUAGUUUACUUUUUCAGUUGAACCCCUUGGUUUGUGGGUUCUUGCACAAUCUCUCAUCGUCUGUCUUGGAAUUUAACUUCUUGGAAAAAUUGGAAUGGCAUGUGGGUUUCGCAUCAUCAAAUCGGUGUCCGAGGCUAUUUUUAUUAUCGUGAAAUACCUCUCUUUUGUUCGUUCUGUAAAAACCCUAGCAUCGAUUUCAGUAAAAUGCUUGUCUUUACUUAUGUAAAAUUAGGGUUCAAAGAAUUUCCAUUUGAAGAGGAGAUUUCAAUCCUCUGCCAUCUCCUAGUUUCGUCGGAUCAUGAAACUCUACGAGUGUGAUGUACUAAUGUUACUCUCCACUCAUAAUUUGUUUUCUAAGAAUAUUUACACGAUGUUGGGAAAUAUGUUGACGAGAAGGUUCCAAUUUCCUUAUUUUGGGUUCUUUUACAAAGGACUUACGCCAUAUUUCAAAAUUCAUCUUGUUCGGGAUGUCUCGAAAGUCGAAACCACAGAUUGAUUUGUCAUGGUUGGUUUUCAUUUGAUUAUUGAUCCAUCUGUGCCAUUUCUAUGUUUGAAUUUCAAAUUCUGAUAAUGUAGUUUGCGGGUCAUGGAAUUCUUAUUAUUUUGGUAACAAAAGAACCAAGGCUAGGAUGGUAUUCAACUUUUUCAAAAAUAUGAACUGGGUAGCCUUUACCUUUUUGGAUAAGUUUUUCUUCAGUAUUAGGUGGAAUCCUUUCCUUGUACAGUUUUUUUGGCCUCUGUCAGUUUUGAAAUUUGAUGGUUGGUGAAGUGGAAAUCAUAAGCUGUUGGUUUGCCUGAAAUAUACCCGACAACAAUCUUUCAUUUGCCCUUCUGCUCUUUGGACGGCCCAUUUGUCCAUAGAGUCCUAGAUGGGAACAUAUACAAGGUCGCAAGCUGCUUUACGAGAAAUUUGCUAUGAAAAUAGUCUUUCAGUUGCUCUUCUGCCCUUUGGACGAGCAUUUUUUUCUAUAGGGUCCUAGAUGAGAACCUAUGCAAAGUCUGCAAUCUGGUUUCCUAUAAAUAUACAAUGACAACAUUCAUACGGUUGCCCUUCUGUCUGAUACUAUGACAAUAGUCAUUUUGUUGCCCUUCUGCCCUUUGGAUGAGCUUUCUAUCUGUAGGAUCCUAGAUGGGAACCGGUUCAAGGUCCGUAAGUUGGGGUUUACCAUAAAUAUACGAUGACAAAAGUCCAAGCCGUUUCUGAAAUUCUAAGAUAGAUUUUUAUUAAUAUAUUUCUGAUGAUUUAUCAAAUAGUCCAUAGUCCAUUUGGAGGAGCAUUUUUGGGGUAUGCUUCUUAAAUUCCGGUGCAGUUUGAGCUUAUGCUAACAUUAAGCAUUGACAGUUGUUUGCAAUGUCUCGAAACCACAAUAUUGAAAAUAUUUACAUGAUGCUGGGAAAUAUGUUGACGAGAAGAUUCCAAUUACCUUUUUUCUUGGUUCUUUUCCAGAUUACUAAUGACAAUUUCAAAAUUUAUGUUGUUUGCAAUGUCUCAAAACCACAAUAUUGAUUUGUCCUGAUGGUUUCUAUUUGAUUAGUUGAAUACCAUCCUAGCCUCGGUUCUUUUUAGGUUUAUCCAUGUUCCUGAUUAAGAGCUAUCCUAUCCUAGCUUUGUUGACAAUUAUACCUUUAAUCUCUUCCUAACAUCACUUGUAUUCCAGUACUCUCCAUCAAGUUUGGGAGUGAUAUAUUAGGUUGUCCUUUUGCCCCAAUGGAGUCCUAGAAGGAAACAAUUCAAUACCCCCUAAAGAGUUACCUUUUCUCGGUUUCAAUAUGUGAACCUGUUCCUCUUGUCAGCAAUCCUCUGAAUACCAGGUCAGUAAUUCGAGACUAUAAUAUGGUUAAUCGAUGAGUUGAAAUUGUGUGGCUAACAGUUUGAUAAAAAAGUCUACUAUACUCCCUUGGUUUUUGGGUUCUUUCACAAGUUUAGGACAUAUAUUUUGGAACUUAUCUAGUUACAACAAUUGGAAUUGCAUGUGGGUUUCUGAUUAGCAAGUUGGUGCCAGAGACUUUAUAUAAUGAAACGCCUUUAUAUGGUCGAUGUGCAAAAACCUUAGUGGAGAUAUAUGAGUAAAAUAUAUGUAAAGUUGGGAUUUUAAGGGAAGUCCAUUGGAAAAGGGAAAUUUUAACCCUCGGUUAGCUCUUAGUUCUUCCAAAUCAUGAAACUUUGAGGAUGAUGUGGUCAAUGGUUAGUGCAUGUCUUUCUCUCCACUGAUAGUUCGUCUUCUACAAAUAUUUACUUGAUGUUGGGAAAGAUCUUAAUCGGAAGGUUUCUAUUCCCUUUCUUAUGAGUUCUUUCACAUAUUUAGUUGAUGUUGUGAAAGAUUUUGAUCAUAAGGUUUCGAUUCCCUUCCUUGUGAGUUCUUUCACAUAGUUACUUGUUGGAAAAGAUUUUGAUCAAAAGGAUUCUGCUUGCGAGUUCUUUGGCAUAUUUACUUGAUGUUGGAAAAGAUUUUGAUCAGAAGGUUUCUACUUGUGAGAGUUCUUUCAUAAGUUGGGAAUCAGUUGGGAAUCUCCAAACGAUAUAUUGGUUUUCAUGACUGCUUUCUAUGUGAUUAGUGAUCCACGAGUUCAGGUUGUUGUUUGAAUCUCAAAGUUUUAUGAUGUAAUUGUGGGUUACGUAAUUCUUGAUAAGGUAGUAGUGUAGGUCUCAUUGCUACAACUGUUUUGGAUAGCUAAGAAAUGGAAAAUCUGCAAUCAUCUAAUAUAUUACAGUAACAGUGGUGUUGGUAUCAAUCCUUGCAUGUCAAGUUGAUGCACUACUGUUUAUGUUGGCGUUCCUUAAUGUUCCCUUAUAACAAGGUUAGAUUAGUUAUAAGUCAGUCGUUCGCUUUGAUAAGAAACAUAACAGUAUCCCUAGUGUUCGCUAACAUGCUAUAUCAUGCAUGCUAUGGGAGUGAUGUAUAUGGAAGGACCAUUUCCGAAAAGAGUAAUGUUUCUCAAUUUGAAUAUUUGAAUUGGUGCCUCUAGUCUGAAUCAUAGGUGAGUAGUUGAAGAAUAUGAUAAUGCUAUCUGAAUCGUAGGUUAGUACUUGAUGAAUAUAUGCUUAUUAGUCUGAAAUUUUGGGGUUGGUAUUUAGGCUGAUGUGGGUUGGUAUUUACUGGAAUUCAUUUCAUGAUCCUUGGCUUGAUAUUUUGAGGUAGCCAGCCCAGUAUUCCUACACAUAAAUAAAGAAUUCGGUUUUUGGAUUCUUGUUCAGGGGGUGCAGGUCUCAGUUGUUGUAGCUUUAGAUGAUCAAAUUCGGGCAAUGGUGGUGUUAGGCAAGUGCAGAAUCAGGAUCAAUGUUUACGUGUCAGUUGAUGGGAUUGCUUGUUCAUUAAUGUUCCACAUGAUUUCUUCCUUAUAAUAGAGUGCAAUGCCCAUCAAUUAGAAAAAUGACACUAGUUCGAAAAGAGCAAGUCGUAACACCUUUUGUUGAUGGCUUGUCUUGCCAUCUCUAGCUGCUCUUUUUGAAUUAUUAAGUAGGAAAAAAGUCGGAGUCCUGACUGAAGAAAUCCCGUUCCUUAUCUAUUUAUAUUAGGAUCUUAUAUGUUUUAUUUGCUAGUUAGAUAGUUACCAUGUUAGUAUUAGUCCUACCCUAUUUUAGCUAGCUGAUCCUAUUAGGUAGUGAUAGUAAAUAUUUUCUUCCCUAAUUAGUAGGAUGCCUAUUGUAUAUAUUAAGCCUACGGGAUAUGAAUAAGAAUCAAUUCAUUCUCUUAAUCUUCAUGGUAUCAGAGCCUUCUCUGUACCUUGCCUAGACGCUUCCACCACGAUCUGAAGCCAUAGUGGCAGAAGGAGCCCUGAACGUAUCCGACACUGCUGGGACUGGAGAUACCGCAAGCACUGUGGCACCAGCAGCAACAACAGACUACUCAAGCUUCCUCACCACACAUAAGCUGGAUGGAAAGAACUAUCUCAAAUGGUCUAAGACCAUGGAGAUGCAUAUCAUAGGAAGAGGAAAAGGAGGAUACCCCACUGGAAGAAUCAAAGCACCAGAAGAGACGAAUCCAAAAUUCCAAACCUGGAACGAACAUGAUAAUUUGGUACGUACCUGGCUGAUCAACUCCAUGAAGCCUAACAUCGGGGAGAAUUACUUCCUUCCCCCGACUGCCAAGGCCAUCUGGGAUGCUGCCAAAAGUACGUACUCAACAAUCGACAACUCCUCUGCCAUGUUCAAGAUCGAGCAGCAUCUGUUCCAUCUUCAGCAAGGAGAAAUGGAUGUCACAGAGUACUACAAUACUCUUGGACAUCACUGGCUACACCUGGAUACGUAUGAUGCACAGGAUUGGGAUACUUCUGAAAAUCAGAAACGAUUCAGGAAGUAUAUUGAGAAGAAAAGGACCCUAUCCUUUCUCCUAGGGUUGAAUCAGGACCUGGACAGCAUAAAGAGCCAAAUCAUGAGUACCAAGCCCUUCCCUAGUCUCACGGAAGCGUUUGCUGCCAUAUUUGGGGAAGAACAUCGAAGAGAUCUCAUGGUUGGUCCGAAGGGAUCUCAUGGUUGCUCCAGCAAAAACCCCUCCUACUCCUCAAGCUGAAAUUUCAGCCCUUGCGGUGCGUAGCCAAUAUCGCAACAACAAGCUGGUGCAGAACCCACCAAAAGGAGAAGAGGAAGAGGACAACUAUUGUGACCACUGCUGAAGACAUGGACACACAAGGAGUGAGUGCUAUUUUUUGGUUGGAGGCCCUUCAGGCUAGAAACCACGCAUCAAGAGACGUGGCCAAGCUCACGUGGCUGCUGCUGCUGCUGCAGACAAAGAACCAGAGACUGAGAGCAGUCCCUUCACUAAGGAACAAGCUACUGCCCUAGAGAAGUUCUUCACCAAAAUCAUGAGUAGGAAUCCACCUCCACAACAAGGAACCUCAUCCUCUAACAUAUACACCAGACUGUUUGCUAGCCAAGGUAACAACCCCUCUGCCUACCUAGUUAACUCUAAACAACCUGCUAAGUGGAUAAUAGACUCAGGGUGUUCAGGCCAUAUGACGGGGUCUCAAGAGGUGUUAAUUGAGUUCCAAGCAUAUCCUAGUACUGCUGGGGUCCGCAUUGCUGAUGGUAGUUUAUCAACUGUUGAGGGGAUAGGCAGGGUUAGACUGAAUGGCAAGAUUGACCUAUUCCCUGUCCUAUAUGUACCCUCCUUGAGCUACAACCUGAUAUCCAUUAGCCAGCUAAGUAGGGAUCUUCAGUGUAAAGUCGUGUUCCGUUCUAAUCAGUGUUCCCUGCAGGAAGAAAGCUCAAGGAAGACGAUUGGAACUGCUGAGUUACUUGACGAUCUCUACAUCAUGAACGAAGCUACUGGUGGUGAAGAACUUGGUGGACAAAGUAGAGCUUUGGUUACUAGUAAUAGCAUGAAUAAUCAUGAUAGCCAGAUCAUGUUAUGGCAUAGCCGAUGAGGGCAUCCUAGUUUUGGAUAUUUGGAAAAGUUGUUACCUCGGUUAUUUCUCAAUAAAAGUUCCAAGGAUUUGCAAUGCGAAGUUUGCCAACUAGCUAAACACACCCAUAGCAGCUAUCCAGGAACGAGUUAUAACCCUACGAAGCCUUUUUCCAUUAUCCAUAGUGACAUUUGGGGCCCUACUCGGGUCAAGAACAUCAACGGGGCAUAAUGGUUCCUUACUUUCAUAGACGACCAUACCAGACUAACGUGGACGUUCCUAAUGAAAGAAAAGGCAGAAACCACAAACAUGUUUCAGGAAUUCCAUCACAUGAUACUCAAUCAGUUUAUAACCGAGAUACAGGUCCUCAAAACUGAUAAUGCCCACGACUACUUCAAUUAAGUCCUAGGGUCAUACUUGUCUCAGCAUGGCAUUGUUCACUGCAGUUCAUGUGUUGACACACCUCAGCAGAACGGAAUUGCUGAGCGCAAGAAUCAACAUCUCCUCGAAACAGCACGAGCGUUGCUCUUCACAAAACAGGUUUUAACGUACCUUUGGGGGAGGCUGUUUUAGUAGCAACCUACUUGAUCAAUAGGUUACCAAGUCGCAUCCUCAACUAUCAAACACCUAAAGAUGUGUUGAUGCAAGCAUACCCUCAUGUACGUGCGUAUAUGUCGGAAUUGGAACCUAAAUUCUUUGGGUGUCUUGCCUUCACCCACAUCCAGCAACAUCAAAGGACCAAGCUUGAUCCACGAGCACAGAAGUGUGUGUUCAUUGGCUAUGCUCCCCGGCAGAAAGGUUACAAAUGCUACUCCCCUAUCACCAAGAAAAUUGGGGUGACUAUGGAUGUGACAUUUUUCGAAUCCUUCGCCUAUUACACCACUCUAGAGCUUCAGGGGGUGACACAGCCAACAGUAGUAGAAGCAGAAGAAGCUAUGGAUCUGACCCUGGAUCUGGAAAAUUUAAUUGCUUUGGAUGGACCAACCAUGCCUCCCAUUUCUACGGGCAGCGAACCAGAACCAGAACCUGCUCCAUAGAUGAGCAGACCAGCAAUUCAACAUGUUUACCAGCGGAGACAAAGACUUGAGCCUAAUAUAGAGCCCGAACCAGAAGCUGGAGUAAACAGUGAGGGAACUGAAACUCACAGUGAACCAGCAACUCAAAACUGAGAGUGCUGAUAUCGCUGGAGAAGAUGUGCAGCAGGAAACCUUGUUCAGUGAGCCAAUUGCUCUAAGGAAGGGAGUUCGAGAGUGCACUCAUCAUCCGAUACAACGGUAUGUUCACUAUGGCCGUUUAAGCCCUAAAUUUAGAGCGUUUAUUGUACACUUGGAUACCAAACCUCGCAACAUAGAGGAGGCCAUGAGAAUACCUGAGUGGAGACAGGCAGUUUUGGAGGAAAUAAGAGCUUUACAAAGCAAUGGAACCUGGAGGAUUGUUGACCUACCACCAGGAAAACAAGCAGUAGACUACAAAUGGCUGUUUACAAUAAAGUACAGGGCAGAUGGCAGUGUGGAGAGACACAAGGCUAGGCUCGUAGCACGAGGAUUUACACAAACGUAUGGGAUUGACUACCAGGAAACUUUUGCUCCUGUAGCAAAACUCAACACCGUUCGUAUCCUACUGUCAGUUGCAGUGAAUGAAGACUGGCCCCUGUAUCAAAUGGAUGUAAAAAAUGCAUUCCAAAAUGGAGCAUUAAUAAAGGAAGUAUAUUUGGAAACUCCAGAAGGGGUGCCUCAUGCUAAAAUCGGGAGAAGGGUUUGCAAGCUAGAGAAGUCCCGGUACGGACUAAAACCGUCUCUAAGAGCUUGGUUUGGAAAAUUUUCAGCAACCGUGAUAUCUAAUGGCUAUCAUCAGUGCAAAACAGAUGGCACAAUGUUCGUGAAACAUGGAGCUGAGAACAAGAUAGCCAUCUUCAUUGUCUACGUCGAUGAUAUUAUAAUCACGGGUAAUGACAAUGAAAAGAUUUCAAGGUUGAAGAUCAAACUGGGAACUGAGUUUGAGCUGAAAGACCUGGGAGAAAUGAAAUAUUUCCUUGGAAUGGAGGUGGCCAGAUCAAGCAAAGGACUCUCUAUAUCCCAGAGAAAGUAUAUCCUAGAUCAGCUAGAGGAAAUCGAUAUGACAGGGUGCAAAUCGGCGGAUACCCCAAUGCACUCAAACAUAAAGUUUAGUCCAGAAGAGAAUGGGGAAAGAGCAGACAAGGGGAGAUAUCAACAACUUAUAGGAAAGCUGAUAUACCUGGCACACACUCGACCUGACAUAGCAUUUGCCGUAAGUGUGGUUAGCCAGUUCAUGAAUGAACCAAAGCGUGAGUACAUGGAUGCUAUAAAUUAUAUUCUUAGAUACCUAAAGAAAACCUCAGGAUUGGGGUUGAUGUUCAAGAAAAAUGAGAGCAGGUCAGUGGAAAUAUACACUGAUGCAAGCUGGGUCAGUGAGAUCACAACAAGGAGAUCGGCCACAUGUUACUGCUCUUAUGUGUGAGGAAACUUGGUAACGUGGAGAAGCAAGAAGCAGUCGGUUGUUGCACGAAGCAGUGCAGAAGCAGAAUACCGAGCUCUUGCUCUCGAGAUUCAGGAAGUCAUGUGGAUACAACGUGUCCUAAAGGAGCUAGAGUUACCAGGACAAGAAAGAGCUACACUAUAUAGUGAUAGCCAGUCAGCCUUAAGCAUUGUUAAGAAUCCUGUACAUCACGACAGGACUAAGCAUGUCGAGAUAUACAGGCAUUUAUCACUGAAAAGGUGAAAGGGGGAGUUGUGAAUGUGAGAUAUGUCUAGUCCAAACAACAGGCGGCUGACAUACUCACAAAGGCACUUCCAUGAGAACUAUCCGAACAUUUCAAGUCCAAGCUUGGUCUGCACAACAUUUACACCAAGCUUGAGGGGGAGUGAAGAAAUCCCGUUCCUUAUGUGUUUAUAUUAGGAUCUUAUUUGUUUUAUUUGCUAGUUAAAUAGUUACCAUGUUAGUAUUAGUCCUACCCUAUUUUAGCUAUCAGAUCCUAUUAGGUAGUGAUAGUAAAUAUUUUCUUCCCUAAUCAGUAGAAUGCCUAUUGUAUAUAUUGAGCCUACAGUAUAUGAAUAAGAAUCAAUUCAUUCUCUUAAUCUUCACUGACACAUAAUUUAUAGGUAGUUUGGCGCAAGUACUAACGCAUAACUAUACUAGAACUCUAACAGUAACAUAAAAUUAGAUAUCCAAUUUAACGAGAACUUUACGGCUAUUUACAUGUAAUCAUAUACGAAUGAUUAUACGCUCUCCCCUCAAAUCGUAGGUAGCCAUACUCGUUAUAUAAUCAUAACUUAUAUGUAGGAGGGCAAAGGUUGGACACCAGUGUUAUUGCUCCACUGUUGUAUAUUUCACUAAUGAGUAAGUCUGUCGAUUUCCAUGUGAUUUGUACAAUCAUGGUGAGUUGGAUAUUUGACAGUGUUGAUUGUUGGUUGACUGUCACACAACAUUCUCACGAAACCAUCGUUGUUACGUAUACUUCAUUUUGGAGUUGCUUCCUGAAAUAGGUAUUAUGUACACUGCUAUUAGAAACAACCGACCUGUUUUUACUUCUUCAAUAGAGGAUUCCCCCAAAUAUAAGUGCGAUAACCUAUACGCCAACUUCUGCAUUUACAUGAAUUUCUCUAUUAUAGCUAUCUAGUGUACAAUCCUAGUUCUCCAAAAAAAUUUCCAAGUACAGUAGGAUUCUAAGACCUGGCCCCAUGCUUUCUUCAUUUGGAUUAUGCAAGCAAUGCUUACUGGUUAAACAAUGUAAGGAUAUGUUUAAACUAGGUAGAUGAGUGUACCCACUAACUUUUUUUCUCUCCCACUAAAUGAGUAUACCGAACAUCAGGUGUCGGGGCUAUCUUAUCUGUUGCAUUUCAGAAUACCUGUUUCAGGAAGAAAGUCCAAUAUAUUAUUUUGAGUUGGCCACCUCCAGGCUCCAUUCAUAAAUUAUACUUCAGAUUUCCUAUGUCUUUGGUGUCAAACACCUAUGCUAGUUUCUGCAUUAAGUUUUUAUCUUUUCAUUUCAACCAUAUUUACUGAGCAUGGUAUAUGCAUUUUUGAAUUUGAAGUAAUCAUAAGCUUUGACUGCUUCUGUAAACCUUGAACUAAGCUCGAGGGGAUGCUUUUAGUCAACAGAGAGUUUUUCUCAGUUUACACAUCAUUCCUUCUCGAGUUUUGAAAGCCAUUCAGUAGGAAUCUUCAUAUAAACCUUCUAAUUUGGAUUUCAUCGCUAGGAGUUUUCUAUAUAAUACCCAUCAUUGAAUAGGGUAUUUGGUACAAGUUCUCACUCCUUUCCUCUAAGCAAUAAACAUGUGCCAGAUCAUUAGUUACAAUAGGAACAUCUUGCUUGACAGGCUAAGUGGUCAUACCUUCUUCUGCCGAGGCAGGAGUUUGUGUGUGUGUGUGCGCUACAUACUAUUGUUGUAGGGGUAUCCUGCUUUUUAUUCAUAAGUUUGUUUGUGCGAAUUUGCUCCAGUUUCAGAGUUAGGACGAUGUUGGAUAGGGUUAUCUUUUAUAGUUGUCUCAGUUACGAAAUCGGGUUGUUGUCUUCUUCCUUUUUUGUUUUGAAUUCUCCCAUUAAGUGAGUAGCUAGGACCACGACACCUGAAUCUUGUACUAUAAAAACUUGUCAUUGUGGCUAAGUCUUGAUCUCAAGUAUAUCAUCAUUGCUCCAAAAUCCCUUGAUACGGGGUAGAGUCAUGAAAACAUGUCAAAGUAUGAAUCUUUUGUUGUAGCCAGUAUUUUGACAGUUGUCAUAAUACUGUGUUACAUAUAUAUCCCUUUGGCACAAGUCAUGGAGCUUCAUCUCGAUUUCAAACAACUCACCAUUGUUUGAUUGACUUGGAUAUGUAUGAUUAGCUCUUUCCCAGAUAGCUUGAGCGUUCUUGUGCAGAAGACCCCUAUCUGCCUUUUCAUCAAAUUUGAGAAGGAUUGAGAAUAUUAUUGAAUGACUACUCUAGAACUCUUAACAGCUAAUUAGAUAUCUAAUUCAACUAGGAGAACGUUACAUCUUUUCCUCGAUACCAUGUCUCCUGAUCAGGGUACUUGGCAAUCCAUUUGAAAUCGAAUAUCACAAAAAUGCAACUGGCAUUGCACAGAUGCAGUCAUUGCAUAGAUGCAGGUGAUUUGUAAUGAGAAACCAAAAAUUUGAGGUGAAUAUAUCACCUUGGAUGAUGGUUUUGAAGCGAACUGUCCAAAACUUUGUCAGUGUGGAAUUCCAGAAUAAUGAUGAUUCUGGUAUGAUGUUAUUUCUGAAUUGUUGUUUACACAUAUAUAUACAGGGUCUGCACCAUUAGGGUGCAAAAUCACCUCAUUUGUAAUCCCUAUAAAUCAGGGAUUACUCUACCUACUACUUACUACUAUUAUUCUGCAUAGAUUAAGCUAGAAGAAUCAAAUAAGACAGCUAACCUACUCUGAUUUCUAUGCCUACUCACACUCUACUAAUUGCUGUAAUUCAACACUCCCCCUCAAGCUUGGCUGUAGAUGUUAUGGAGGCCAAGCUUGCCUUGUAAAUCAUCAAACAUAUCCCUAGGCAGUGCCUUAGUAAGAAUAUCUGCGAUCUGCUGCUUCGAUGGAACGUACUCCAUCUCGAAUUCCUUGUUGUUUACCUUCUCAGAAAUGAAAUGACGAUCCAGUUCAACAUGUUUAGUGCGAUCAUGAUGAACUGGAUUCUUCACAAUACUGAGUGCUGCCUGACUAUCACACACCAACUUGAAUCCGUGUAUAUCGAAAUUCUGCGACCAGAAUGUUUUUGAAUUAGUAGCCCAACACCUGGUGUACUUUUUAAAUAUCUCAAUAUCCUCAUCACUGCUCACGAUGCUCACUGGAAAUGAGAUGUCUGGACGUGUGUGUGCUAAAUAUAUUAGCUUGCCUACCAAUUUUUGGUAACUCCCCCUUUCUACUGGCGCUGCUUCUUGGCCAAGACCAAACUUCAGAUUGUGUUCCAUUGGUGUGCUGGCAGGUUUGCACCCAAUCAUCCCAGUCUCCUUUAACAAGUCUAGGACGUAUUUCCGUUGGGACAAACUCAGUCCCUUACUAGAUCGUGCUACUUCAAUUCCCAGGAAAUACCUCAGAUUUCCUAGGUCUUUUAUCUCAAAUUCCAGUGCCAGCUUCUCCUUGAGCUUUCUGAUUUCUGUUUCAUCAUCCCCUGUGAUGAUAAUGUCAUCAACGUAUACAAUAAGGAUGGCCUUCCUUCCUUCCUGAUUCUGUUUUAUGAACAUAGUGUGAUCCGUUUGGCACUGAUAGUACCCGUACCCUUUCACUGAUUGUGAGAACCUCUCGAACCAUGCUCGUGGUGACUGCUUGAGGCCAUACAGUGCCUUUCUCAGUCUACACACCAUUCCUGGUUCAGUGGUAACACCUGCUGGAACCUUCAUGUACACCUCCUCACUUAAAUCUCCGUUGAGGAAAGCAUUCUUCACAUCUAGUUGGUAUAGGGGCCAGUCUAGAUUUACUGCAAUGCUUAGGAGAACUCUCACAGUUUUCAACUUGGCUACUGGAGCAAAUGUCUCCUCGUAGUCCACUCCAUAGCACUGUGUAAAUCCUCUGGCUACAAGACGAGCCUUAUACCUCUCAAUCUUCCCUUCUGAGGUAUACUUCACUGUGAAUAUCCACUUGCAGUCGACUGUGGAUUUCCCUGUGGGCAGUCUUACUAUGUCCCAUGUCCUAUUCUUUAGGAGUGCAUUUAUCUCUUCCAGUACUGCUGCCUUCCAGUGGGGUAUACCCAUAGCCUCCUCAAUAGAGUGAGGAAUCUGUGUAUCAUCGAGAGUCCCUACAAACGCCUUGUAUUUCUGGCUUAGGUUUCCAUAUGAAACCCAUCUCUCAAUGGGGUGAGUUGUACACGAUCUAGUCCCUUUCCUGUGUGCAAUUGGAAGGUAGACUGUAUCAUCCACCCCAAUCUCUUCUACACCAGCGUCCUGGAUUUCCUCUUCUGUCUGGUCAUGAUUCCUGACUUCAUCACCAUGUUCAACUCCUUGAUCCAUUUGAUUUGACUCAUCUUCUUGGGAGGUCAGGUUCUCAUCAAAUUCCUGGACAGGUUGAGCAUGUGAGUUGACUGUCGCCUUCUUCCUACGCUGAUAAACCAGGAGAGGAGGGGUUUGGCUGGGUUUUUCUGUGGGAGUGGAUUGGACUACCUCAGGAGAAUCUAGAACAAUUUGAGAGUCGAGAGUAGUAAUACUCCCAAUGGAGGACUCAACCAUAGGAUUCUCCCCCUGAGGCGGACAGUGGGAGUAAUAAGGGAGAUUUUCAAAAAACGUGACAUUUUUUGAGUGAUAGACUUUGUGGUUAUGUGGAGAGUAACACUUGUAACCACUGUGAUGGGACGAAUAUCCAAGAAAGACACAUUUGACUGCUCUAGGAUCAAGUUUAGUACGAAGUGAUGGAUCUAGGUGAACAAACACUGUACAGCCAAAUAUUCUAAGAGGGAGGUCAGACGAUAGAGCAUGACUAUGAGGAAAGGUUUUUAAGAGAACACUACGAGGAGUUUUAAAACGUAGGGUUCGAUUUGGGAGACGAUUGGUAAGAUAAGUGGCUGUGAGGACAGCAUCACCCCAUAAGUUCUUUGGAGCCUUGGCAGCAAACAGUGAUGCCCUCGCAACCUCUAGCAAGUGACGGUUUUUGCGUUCAGCAACUCCGUUCUGCUGAGGGGUGUAAGGGCAUGAGCUGCUGUGAGCAAUGCCAUUAGCUGUUAGGAAGGAACUUAAGGAUUGAUUGAAAUAGUCCUUUGCAUUAUCAGUGUGAAGUACUCGAAUAGGAGUUUGAAACUGGGUUUUGACCUGAUUUAGGAAGUUUUGAAAUAUAUCCUUUGUUUCAGUCUUUGAUUUCAUGAGAUAAGUCCAUGUUAAACGGGUGUGGUCAUCAAUAAAGGUGAUGAACCAUUUAGACCCACUAACCGUUUUUACAGAACACGGACCCCAAAUAUCGCUGUGAAUGAUGGAAAAAGGAUGUGUUGGCUUAUAUGGUAGGCUAUGGUAGAUGACUCUUGUCUGUUUUGCAAGUUGACAGACCUCACAAUAAAAAGAAUUCGGAUUUUUAUUGAUAAACAGCUUAGGAAACAGUUUUUUAAGGUAAGAGAAACUAGAGUGGCCUAACCGGUAGUGCCACAUCAUGACAGGGCAAUCUAACUGGCUUGUCCUAGAACUUAGGUGUACUGAUUUGGAACCCUCUCCCCCUGGUCUGGAUCCGCUUGUUGUACUCAGAAGGAACAGUCCGUCACACAGCUCAAACCUGCCAAUCAUCUUCUGAGAUCCCACCUCCUGCAAUAUACAUUGUGAUGGAUCACAUGUUAGACGGCAGUUAAGAUCUUGUGUGAUCUGACUAACAGAGAUUAGGUUACAAUUCAGCUUAGGCACAUAUAGGACAGGGAACACAGCCUGAUUUGGAGUCAGGUAGGCUGUCCCAAUCCCUUCGACUGGAGCAAUUGUUCCAUCAGCGAUACGGACUCCUGCUUUCCCUAUGUGAGCCUGGAUAUUGUGGAGCAGCUGUCUAGAACCCGUCAUGUGUUCAGUAGCACCAGUAUCCAAAAUCCAGUGUUGAUUAAAAUGACUUUGAGUAAGGAAAGCAGUGGAUCUAAUACCUUGGCUAGCAAACAGGCUGUGGUGAGUUUCAGAGGGUCCUGCAGAUGCUUUCUUAGCAGUAUACUGUGCCAUCAUCUGCUGGAGAAUCUCCAUCUGUUCUCUAGUGAUUUGACCAAACUGUUGAACUUGGUCAGCUGCAGCAGCCUGUGCAUAAGCCUCUCUUUCUGCCUUAGGUUUCCAGUCCGUAGGCUUCCCAUGUAACUUCCAGCAUGUUUCCUUAGUGUGUCCCAGCUUGUUACAGUGCGUACACUGAGGUCUAAGCUUUCCAGACUUGGUGUACGCACUUCCUUGAUUUCCAGUAUACUGAGUAGCAAGGGCAGAUCCUUCUACUGAGGUGUUUUUUGAGUCGGGAAUCAUGAGCUUUCUCCUGCUCUCUUCCCACUUGAUUUCAGCAAACGCCUCUCUUACUGAAGGAAGGGGAAGACGGCCCAUAAUCCUUCCUUUCGCCUCAUCUAGAGCCUGAUUUAGGCCAAGAAGGAACCUGAUGGUUCGCUUUGUCUGGAGAAUCUGCCUGUAGAGGUCUGCAUCUUCCGUGCACUUCCAUAGAUGGAUGUCGUAUAGGUCCUGCUGUAACCAGCAUUUACUCAGUUCGUCAUAAUACUGAGUGACGGAUUUCUCCCCCUGCUUGAGAUCAUGGAGACGCAUCUCCACCUCGAAGGCCUCUGCUUUGUUGGCCUGAUUGGAGUAGGUGUGUCUCGCUCCUUCCCAGAUCUCAUGAGCAGUUUGGUGGAGAAGGAACUUCUCGCCAAUGGUCGUGGUCAUUGAGUUCAGGAGCCAUGACUGAACCAUGUUAUCCUCAAUGUCCCAGUUGGCGAACUCUGGAUCCUCUUCUGCUGGCUGUUCUGUCUUCCCAGUCAGGUAUCCUUUCUUCCCUUUCCCUGAGAUGAAUUUUAGAACGGACGACGACCACUGAAGGUAAUUAUCUCCGUUCAGCCUGUGAUUUGUGAUGCAGCCUAGGACAGUCUCUGAUAGGGCUGCUGGAUUCGUGCGUCUCAGUGACGGAUCCUCUGUAGUCACAGAGGGAGACUGUGGAAUGUUGUCAGCGUUGUUCAUGACUGGAGGAUGAGAAAAUAGAAAAGGAGAUAGGAGUUUUUAGAAGGAGAACGGGGCUUAGAUCUAAUGAAUAUACCCUCGCUCUGAUACCAUGUGGAAUUCCAGAAUAAUGAUGAUUCUGGUAUGAUGUUAUUUCUGAAUUGUUGUUUACACAUAUAUAUACAGGGUCUGCACCAUUAGGGUGCAGAAUCACCUCAUUUGUAAUCCCUAUAAAUCAGGGAUUACUCUACCUACUACUUACUACUAUUAUUCUGCAUAGAUUAGGCUAGAAGAAUCAAAUAAGACAGCUAACCUACUCUGAUUUCUAUGCCUACUCACACUCUACUAAUUGCUGUAAUUCAACAGUCAGAAGCACAGCUCCCAUUAAGAAGUGAAGCCCUAUGCUUCACUGUGCGAGCUCCCUAGAAAUUCUCUUGUGUCCUCUUCACCAUUCUCAUUCAACUUGUCCGGGUUCUCCGAAUUCAAAGAGGCUUGAAAUGGUCCUUUGUACUUGUUGCCUAUCAUCACAGCCGCCCUGCAACAAGCCCUCCUUUUGUAACCUGUUUCGUUCGUAUAGUUGGCCAUCCUUGCUUUUCAAGUUGAACAAAAUCAAUGCAUCAUUAUCAGUCCCUUAAUUGUGGCUUAUAUACUUUUUCUUCCAUGGUUCCAUGUGCCAUCAUCAUGUAACCAAUGCAUCAUUACCAAAUGUUGCGCUUUUCUGGCCAUACUUAACGAAGUCAACCCACAUUUAUUUCGAUAAUAGUAUCAGUUACAGCAACAUUGAUGCCAGAGAUGGCUUGAAGAUCAUAUGUAGGAUUCCAACAACAAUGACAAUGACUUGGUUAGUAGAUUACAGAUUUCUGCAAAAUGAAACCCAGCUUUUGUAGAUAUCAGGUUGCGUUUAACGCUUUUGUUUUUCCUGGUCAUUAAACCUUUCUCCAACUUCUGCACUUCAGAGCUCUUUAUUCCAUCUAGGCCAUAUAGUUCAUAGAUCAUAGGGGGUAAUGUACUGAAACUUCAUAUGAGUAAGCUUAGUAAUUCAGUAAGUAAAAGGAACUCAGUAUUUGAUGAUACCAUCAUAACAACACAAGCGAGAUAAAACUACGUACGUCAAUAGAGCACCUGGCCACUUCAAGCAAAGUACUGCUGCAACCAAUUGACUUAUCUUUUUCACGCUCAAACUGGACAAUGAUCCUGUCAUUAAACUCCAGAAAACAUCUGAAGCAACCUUUCCAUAAACAAAUUAAACAUUUUCAUGAUGGUAGAACAGUGUCACGAGGUAGUACAGUUCAUCCUGGUGUUUGCUAGGUGGAUAACAUAUCUGAUAUUGGUGUCAUCUGCAAACCAAUUUCCUCUAUAACAAAACUGUUUGACAAUGGGUUUUUCCCUUCUGCACAUAAAAAAAAAGAAAAGGUGAUAAAAGGCAUCCUUGUCGUAGCCCCUUACUUGACCCGAACAUUCCGCUUAGCGCUCCAUUAAUUAGCACUCGGUAUUUGACCAAUUUUACACAUAUCAUCAUCCACCCUACUCAUCUGUUAGACGAAAAUAAAACGUAACGUUACCAUCUCCAUAUAUCACUUUACAUACAUACAUAACCACCAUCUAGAUUGGCUAAAGGAAGGACCAAAUGAAAAAAACUAACGAGCAUGAGAGAAGGGGUACUUCUGGAAGCAAAUAAUAUAAUGAAUGCGCAGUACUUACUGGGUUUUACAAACUCUAAUGACUCGUAUAUUUUACAUGCAUAUAUAAGAACACAUGUAUAUCUACCAUGUGAAAAUCCAGGACACCAAAAAAUAAAGACUAUAAAAUAGUAAAAUUCCAAAUACAAACUAAUUCCAGUGAGCCAGAACUCUGAAGAAUCCAUCUCUAUUUUUUUUAUAUAGACAAACGAUUUAUUUACCCACAAAAAACAUAAUUACGUUUGCUUGUCCGCUGCGGAACUAAUUGUGACAUAACAAUCCGUGUGUUUUGUUUGUCUCUCCUCUUUUAUAUAUCAAGUAGGACUGUAUGUUGAGUUUUUUAACGUUAUAUAUAAUCGAGCAAUUCGUAUCGGUC
rnacentral:lncRNA from 1 species